UACGAAGGGGGCUAGCGUUGCUCGGAAUCACUGGGCGUAAAGGGUGCGUAGGCGGGUUUUUAAGUCAGGGGUGAAAUCCUGGAGCUCAACUCCAGAACUGCCUUUGAUACUGAAGAUCUUGAGUUCGGGAGAGGUGAGUGGAACUGCGAGUGUAGAGGUGAAAUUCGUAGAUAUUCGCAAGAACACCAGUGGCGAAGGCGGCUCACUGGCCCGAUACUGACGCUGAGGCACGAAAGCGCGGGGAGCAAACAGG
rnacentral:rRNA from 1 species